rnacentral:rRNA from 1 species
UACGUAGGGUGCGAGCGUUAAUCGGAAUUACUGGGCGUAAAGCGUGCGCAGGCGGCUUCGCAAGUCAGACGUGAAAUCCCCGGGCUUAACCUGGGAAUGGCGUUUGAAACUACGGAGCUGGAGUAUGGCAGAGGGGGGUGGAAUUCCACGUGUAGCGGUGAAAUGCGUAGAUAUGUGGAGGAACACCGAUGGCGAAGGCAGCCCCCUGGGCCAAUACUGACGCUCAUGCACGAAAGCGUGGGGCGCAAACGGG